rnacentral:rRNA from 1 species
UACGUAGGGUGCGAGCGUUACUCGGAAUUACUGGGCGUAAAGCGUGCGCAGGCGGUUAUGCAAGACAGAUGUGAAAUCCCCGGGCUCAACCUGGGAACUGCAUUUGUGACUGCAUGGCUGGAGUGCGGCAGAGGGGGAUGGAAUUCCGCGUGUAGCAGUGAAAUGCGUAGAUAUGCGGAGGAACACCGAUGGCGAAGGCAAUCCCCUGGGCCUGCACUGACGCUCAUGCACGAAAGCGUGGGGAGCAAACAGG